GUAGUUGACUCCGUGGCUCGAGACGACGCUGGCGGCACGCCUAACACAUGCAAGUCGAACGGAGUGAAGAUGCUCGCAUCUGAACUUAGUGGCGGACGGGUGAGUAACACGUGAGCAACCUGCCUUUCAGAGGGGGAUAACGUUUGGAAACGAACGCUAAUACCGCAUAAAAUAUCGGAGUCGCAUGGCACUGAUAUCAAAGGAGCAAUCCGCUGAAAGAUGGGCUCGCGUCCGAUUAGGCAGUUGGCGGGGUAACGGCCCACCAAACCGACAAUCGGUAGCCGGACUGAGAGGUUGAACGGCCACAUUGGGACUGAGACACGGCCCAGACUCCUACGGGAGGCAGCAGUGGGGGAUAUUGCACAAUGGGGGAAACCCUGAUGCAGCGAUGCCGCGUGAAUGAAGACGGCCUUCGGGUGUAAAGUUCUGUCGCAGGGGACGAAAAUGACGGUACCCUGCAAGAAAGCUCCGGCUAACUACGUG
rnacentral:rRNA from 1 species